rnacentral:rRNA from 1 species
AACGAACGCUGGCGGCAUGCCUAACACAUGCAAGUCGAACGAGACCUUCGGGUCUAGUGGCGCACGGGUGCGUAACGCGUGGGAACCUGCCCUUAGGUUCGGAAUAACUCCCCGAAAGGGGUGCUAAUACCGGAUAAUGUCUUCGGACCAAAGAUUUAUCGCCUUUGGAUGGGCCCGCGUUGGAUUAGCUAGUUGGUAGGGUAAAAGCCUACCAAGGCGACGAUCCAUAGCUGGUCUGAGAGGAUGUUCAGCCACACUGGGACUGAGACACGGCCCAGACUCCUACGGGAGGCAGCAGUGGGGAAUAUUGGACAAUGGGCGAAAGCCUGAUCCAGCAAUGCCGCGUGAGUGAUGAAGGCCUUAGGGUUGUAAAGCUCUUUUACCCGUGAUGAUAAUGACAGUACCGGGAGAAUAAGCUCCGGCUAACUCCGAG